rnacentral:rRNA from 1 species
CCCCGCACAAGCAGCGGAGCGUGUGGUUUAAUUCGAUGCUACACGAAGAACCUUACCAGGGUUUGACAUGCAAGUGGUAGGAACCGAAAGGCGACCGACCUUCGGGAGCUUGCACAGGUGGUGCAUGGUUGUCGUCAGCUCGUGUCGUGAGAUGUUGGGUUAAGUCCCGCAACGAGCGCAACCCUCGACCUUAGUUGCCAGCAUUCAGUUGGGCACUCUAAGGUGACUGCCGGCUAAAAGUCGGAGGAAGGUGGGGAUGACGUCAAAUCAUCAUGCCCCUUAUGACCUGGGCUACACACGUGCUACAAUGGGCGGUACAAAGGGUCGCGAACCCGCGAGGGGGAGCCAAUCCCAAAAAGCCGCUCUCAGUUCGGAUUGCAGGCUGCAACUCGCCUGCAUGAAGCCGGAAUCGCUAGUAAUCGCGGAUCAGCAUGCCGCGGUCGAAUACGUUCCCGGGCCUU